rnacentral:rRNA from 1 species
UCUCGGCAACGGAUAUCUCGGCUCUCGCAUCGAUGAAGAACGCAGCGAAAUGCGAUACCUGGUGUGAAUUGCAGAAUCCCGCGAACCAUCUGGU